UACGGGGGGGGUAAGCGUUGUUCGGAAUUACUGGGCGUAAAGGGCGCGUAGGCGGCCUGUUAAGUCGAACGUGAAAUCCCCAGGCUCAACCUGGGAACUGCGUCCGAUACUGGCAGGCUUGAAUCCGGGAGAGGGAUGUGGAAUUCCAGGUGUAGCGGUGAAAUGCGUAGAUAUCUGGAGGAACACCGGUGGCGAAGGCGGCAUCCUGGACCGGUAUUGACGCUGAGGCGCGAAAGCCAGGGGAGCAAACGGG
rnacentral:rRNA from 1 species